UACGUAGGGGGCAAGCGUUGUCCGGAAUCAUUGGGCGUAAAGAGCGCGUAGGCGGCCCUGUAAGUCCGCUGUGAAAGUCAAGGGCUCAACCCUUGGAUGCCGGUGGAUACUGCAGGGCUAGAGUCCGGAAGAGGCGAGUGGAAUUCCUGGUGUAGCGGUGAAAUGCGCAGAUAUCGAGAGGAACACCUGAGGUGAAGACGGGUUGCUGGGCCGACACUGACGCUGAGUGCGCGAAAGCCAGGGGAGCAAACGGG
rnacentral:rRNA from 1 species